AACAUUACAUACAUACGCUAUGGAUCUAAGUAGUUGGUCACUAGUACAGAAUACAUUUUCAAAUAUCCUCGAGUUCCUUUCUAUCCAUAUAGUAUAGAACAAUUCUGCAAUUGUCAUUUUGAAGAUAUGUGCUCGGCUUGACUUCCCUUUAGCUUUGGUAACUGCCCAGUGAAUAAGCUGUUCCCAGUUCUGUGCAUUUGGUGGGGAGACUCUGAUCCAUAACAUAACGUGCUUACUCAGUUGCCUUGUAAAAGGGCAAUCCCAGAAGAGGUGAUCUCUAUUUUCCACUGCUUGGUUACAGAAUACACAACUGCUAUUUAAACGUGCUUGCCAAUGGUUCAACCUUGCUUUAGUAGGAAGCCUAUCCUGAAGAACCAACCAUAAAUUGAACACUGCCUUGGGUCGAGCAUAAUUUUGUAUGGUGAGGUUCUUCUAAUAAACUCUGGGAAGCUGGCCAAGCUGCAGCAGAUAUAAGAGUCUUAUAGUACCAACUGGUUUCUGCAUCAACUGGAAAUGCUUCAAUAGAACAGUAGCAUCAAAUAUCUUUUUUACCAUC
rnacentral:lncRNA from 1 species